GCCGGCUUAGCUCAGCGGUAGAGCAGCGCUUUUGUAAAGCGAAGGUCAUCAGUUCAAAUCUGUUAGCCGGCA
rfam:Prochlorococcus marinus str. NATL2A, complete genome.